rnacentral:tRNA from 1 species
GCCCAGGUAGCUCAGUUGGUAGAGCAGGGGUUUUGUAAACCUCAGGUCGAAGGUUCGAGUCCUUUCCUGGGCU